CAAGUCGAAAUUCUAUAUCAAAAAGAUGCCUUAGUGAGAAAUGGCUUAUGGGUUAAAGUAAUUCUCUGAAUAUAGACACAAACAUCUGAGGGCAAUGGAUACAACCUCCAUAAGGGACUAAAGGUAAAGUGGAGUGAAGGCAAAAGUGCAACUACUCCACAAUGUGUUUGUGUGUGUGUUUGUGUGUACUUGAGCACGCACCUGAACAAAAGAGAGCUACAAAACAAGAAGAAGAAGAACAACAACAACAGCAGCAACAGCAAUAACAACCUGGCCAAGAGGAUGGCGUAGCGAAGAAUCAGAGGAGAAGGCAUAGUAGGCAAUAAUAAUGAGGCAACCAGCGACCACAAACGCCAGCAGCAGCAGCAGCAACGGCAGAAUCACAUACUAUAUAUACAAUCGUAAAAAAACCUUACUACAACUACAUACAUCAGGGGCGCAUUCAAGGGUUAAGUAACACCUGGCCAAGUGCAUGCCUUGCAUUCAAAAAGUUGGCUUAAAAAAACUACAUAAGAAAAUUAGACAAUAAAUGAAAUGUCGACCCUAUAAACAAAAAGAGACUUUACAGAAAAGGGCUAUCCACCCUCUUAAAAUCCAAGUCCGCACCUGAUGCAACUUCAUGGUCAAACAUUAGGAGGAAACGCAGGGGCCGAUUGGGGGCCAGGCAAAAACCUCAAAAGGCGAAUGUCAAGUGGUAACCAAGUAGAAGGUUAAAUGCAAAUUGUAUGGAGAACCCCCGCACCCACCCCCCGCUAACAGUGACACCACCCCCGCCUACUGAACGCAUUUACGUUA